rnacentral:rRNA from 1 species
GUGUCAGCAGCCGCGGUAAUACGAAGGGGGCUAGCGUUGUUCGGAUUUACUGGGCGUAAAGCGCGUGUAGGCGGGCUGGAAAGUUGGGGGUGAAAUCCCGAGGCUCAACCUCGGAACUGCCUCCAAAACUUCCAGCCUGGACCCAAGUAGAGGCAAGUGGAAUACCGAGUGUAGAGGUGAAAUUCGUAGAUAUUCGGUGGAACACCAGUGGCGAAGGCGACUUGCUGGACUUGUGGUGACGCUGAGACGCGAAAGCGUGGGGAGCAAACAGGAUUAGAUACCCUGGUAGUCC